GGACGGGUGAGUAAUGUCUGGGAAACUGCCUGAUGGAGGGGGAUAACUACUGGAAACGGUAGCUAAUACCGCAUAACGUCGCAAGACCAAAGAGGGGGACCUUCGGGCCUCUUGCCAUCGGAUGUGCCCAGAUGGGAUUAGCUAGUAGGUGGGGUAACGGCUCACCUAGGCGACGAUCCCUAGCUGGUCUGAGAGGAUGACCAGCCACACUGGAACUGAGACACGGUCCAGACUCCUACGGGAGGCAGCAGUGGGGAAUAUUGCACAAUGGGCGCAAGCCUGAUGCAGCCAUGCCGCGUGUAUGAAGAAGGCCUUCGGGUUGUAAAGUACUUUCAGCGGGGAGGAAGGGAGUAAAGUUAAUACCUUUGCUCAUUGACGUUACCCGCAGAAGAAGCACCGGCUAACUCCGUGCCAGCAGCCGCGGUAAUACGGAGGGUGCAAGCGUUAAUCGGAAUUACUGGGCGUAAAGCGCACGCAGGC
rnacentral:rRNA from 1 species